rnacentral:rRNA from 1 species
ACGGGGGGGGCAAGCGUUGUUCGGAAUUACUGGGCGUAAAGGGUGCGUAGGCGGUGCUCUAAGUCGGAUGUGAAAACUCUGGGCUCAACCCAGAGCCUGCAUCCGAAACUGGAGUGCUAGAGAUCUGGAGGGGGUAGCGGAAUUCCUGGUGUAGCGGUGAAAUGCGUAGAUAUCGUGAGGAAGACCAGUGGCGAAGGCGGGUCUCUGGACAGUUCCUGACACUGAGGCACGAAGGCCAGGGGAGCAAACGGGA